GGGAUCUAUAACAUUGUCAUAUAUGAAUUAUGAUGUAGAAUUGACAUGUUUCCAGGAAAUGUGCAACACAAUUAAUGGGGAAAAGAGAGAACUUUAUGCCUUGACAGAUUGAUGAACCAAGCACUUCGCUUGCCAGUUUCUACUGAUCUCAUGGAUUGAAGGACUCGAGGACUAGUUGAACUAAGAGGUUGGCCUUUGAAAUUAGACUUAUUCCCCUUCCCAACCCAUUUGACGGGCUCGUCGCUCCCACAAUGAUGUAAGCUUUCUCUCCUUGAUCAUCAAUGCCUCAGCACGUUCUCGGGCCUCUUCGCAAGUUUCUGUUGCAGCAAUGCACUUUUCAGCCUCCCUCUGAUACUGAGAAGCUGCCCUUUUUGCCUCAAAUAAAGUGAUGUUCAUAUGACGAGUAUGUUCGCCAGAAACUGCUUCUUGAAGCUUCAAUUCCUCUGUCAAAAGGUCCACAAAUUGUUUUUCCAUCUCCUGCUUGAGAUCUGGGUCAUUACUCCCACAGUCUGUGACAGAGAGAUUGGCCAGACCAGGAGAAAUCUUCAAAAGGGAUAAUGGGGGUGGACAAUCGCAGAUGCAAGGAGGACAGGAGGCUUUGAAAUCUCCCAAUUGGAAAGCCUUCUUGAAUCUCCAAUACAAAGCCGGUCCACAAACAGCCAAAGCAGAAACUACAGCAAAAAUUACGAGACAACACCUUAGGCAAGCCCCAGAUCGGCGUGACAUUUCUCACCCUGAUCUUCCUUUUGAUUCUUGUUUUUUCUUUUUCGUCGUAUUUUUCCUUCCUCUCUCUUUCCGCGUUACUGAGAAAGUGAGGAACUGAGAU
rnacentral:misc_RNA from 1 species